UGUUUAUCUCAGGGCAGGGUGAAAGUCCCUACCGGCGGUAAUAUGAAAUUAUCAAAUGGUGAUUUUGUGAAGCCCGCGAGCGCUCUGUUUUUUUAUUCUCUUCAGAGAGUAAAACGGAGGUCAGCAGAUCCAGUGUGAUUCUGGAGCCGACGGUGAUAGUCCGGAUGGGAGAGAAUAACA
rnacentral:ncRNA from 2 species